AGCAGACAGAUGAUUCCCCAGUCCCGGAACACUCUCGGCCCUCUUCAGCCACUCCCUCCCCAACCCACACGCCAUCAACCUCCAGACCCUCUCGCCGUGGCUUAGAGGUGUCUCUGACAACGUGGCACACUGGGAAGGCCUUCUUUCCUGCUACCAAUACAAAUGCAUUCUGAAUUUGAUAUGUCAUUAAAUGUAAAAAUACAGCCAAUUUGAAACAAGCAAAUGGAAAUUCCCAGGAACCAAAAACAGAAAGAAAAAUCAGAGCUACCGCAGUGCUGUCCCUGCAGACAGAAUUUGGGAGAGGUACUCAGAGUCACCUCCUGUGAGCCUAUGCAAGCCAGCUCCUGCACAACCCUGGUUUUAGUCCAGCCUUCUGCAGAAUUCCACAUUAAACAGGAUGAAGAAUAGGUUGUUAGCAGACUGAGGUACUUGGGGCAACAUUUCGUACACAACAGGAGGGAGAAACGACUCCAGGUUGUCUUGUGGUAGAGGAGAUUUUGCCUUGCAAUUUUACAUACUUAUGCUACGUGGAAGGCUGGGUGGCGUGACUUCAGAAAAAUGUUUCCUCAGGAAAGAGACACACAGAGAGAGAGAGAAAGAGAGAAAGAGAGAACCCACCUACCUGUUUUGCAAAAGUCUCAUGAAUCAUCCCUUCCUGUGGUCCUGCUCCCUGAGAUCCUUUCACCGCUCACAGUGGGCUACUUCUAAGAGCGUGCCUGGCACAGGGUCACUGAGAGCAUAGUCUUAAUAAAACAAUGAUGGAUGCUUGUCUCUCUCACUGGGUGCCAUGCACUUUGAUCAGAAGCUUUAAGAAUGUUUUCCUCCACUGUCUAGUCACAGCCGUAUUAAAUUACACAAGGCAUGGGAAGAGGCAUAAUCUGUUGAUGAUAAAUCAGAAUUAAUGAGAGUUUAACAAGCCUGCUAAAUACUAAGUCAAUGUAAAAAAUCAAUUGUAAGCCCAUCUAUCAGAAAAACACUAUUAGCAAGCAAAAUUUACAUUUUUACUGCUUAACAUAGCAUCCCAAAUAUCAAGUACCUAGCAACAAAUCUAACGAAAGAUAUGCAAGACUUAUAGAGAAAACAGCAACAGCAACAACUUUGUUUAGAUACAUUAGCGAAGAUCUCAUUACAUGGAGACAUACACUAUGCUCAUGGACUGGAAGACUCCAUAUGGAAGAUGCCAAUUCACAUCUCAGAAUCUCAGCAGGUGUUGCAAAGAACCUGAAAAUUUGUUUUAAAAAUUCAUGUCAAAAUGCAAAGGUCCUACAAUUGCCAAAGAAAAAUAGGGAGGGAGGACCACCUGAUAUCAGCGGUGAUUAUAAAACAAUAAUAAAUGUGAUACCUUGCCUUAAGUCUGGGGAUAGACAAAUAGACGAGGGGCGCAGGUUGGAGAAUCCAGAAACUGACCCAUGAAUACAUUGACACUUGAUAUAUGACAGAAAUGGCCCCCAAAGCCAUGGGUGUCUGGGCAUAUAGUAUCCAUACAGAAAAAAUAUGAACUAUCUUCAAUAAGAGACAUAACACUAUAAAAGAAAAUCAUUUUAAGAAAAAAUUGUAC
ensembl:lncRNA LINC00929 long intergenic non-protein coding RNA 929